GCAAUCUGCGGCUGGCCGCCGCCGACCGCACGGUGCUGCAGGCGCUGCUGGCGAUUUCGUGGAUGUGGUUUUACGGCGUGGCGUUUCUCACCCAGUUUCCGGUGUUCGCCAAGGAUGUGCUC
rnacentral:ncRNA from 1 species